rnacentral:lncRNA from 1 species
GCAUGAAGAUAACAUUUUCAGUUUUUGUUUACAAAUUGAAGAAUGCAUUUAACUUUUCAGUUCUGUGAGAGACUCUAACGUGGGGGGACCAGUAAAAUGGUGAAGAAGUUAUCCAUUGGUGACACUUCCUAGCACAACCCAAUCUUCCCCAGGAUUAAAACCUGCAGCCUUCUAAUAAAAGUCUUGUGUUGGACCUAUGGAGCUUACGGGCAGAGCUGGCUUGGUGGAAACGAUAUCAAAAGGUUGUUGCAUCAUCUGUAGACUAGCAAUAAAUCAGGCCCACUGAAACCAAGGAUUAUAUUUUAUGGUGAUGAUGUAGUGUGACCAGUUGCAGAGUUUGUGCAUAAGACAGUUACGUAGAAUGAGUUUACAUUUUGUUGGAAUCCUUGUUGCAGAUAUACUCGGGUUACAGAUUUGCAGUAGCUGUCAGCAAUCGAGAAACCAGUAGCCACUCAAAAUAAAGGACCCACAUGACCAGACAAGUUGGCAAGAUUAUAAAUUCAAGCGAAGUGUGCCAAAGUUCAAGUCUGGAGAUAUCAUUGGCAAAUCUUAGACAUUUUUAGAUAUAAGUUCAGUCAGUCAGUGUUAAAUUACGAUCCAUCCGCCCUUUCAGACACAACAAGGCAUAACUGCCACAUAGAGUAGUAGUAGACCGAUUUUGCUUAGAUUUAACUUUAAAAUGACUUCAUUUAUAUAGUUUUCAGUCAAAGGCUUUUCUCGGUAUUUGUAUUUUAUUCUAUAUAUCAAGUUCUGGAAAAUAAUAAUAUUGGAGAUGAUUUUUUAUCAAAAAAUAAAGAAAAUUAGAUUUUAUUGUUGAUGUGUUUUUAGAAUAAAUAUGUAUAAAGUGACUAUAGCAAAGGCAGAAUUACUUGCCACCAGCAUGCUAAAUAUUUUUAGAGGCACAAAGUUCUAUGCUUUUGGGCUAAAACAGCUAUUUUCGUGAGGACAUUAAUUUGGGGAUUUAAAUUUUGAACAUUAAGUGAAUGGGAAUUUUACUUAAUAUCCACUGAGUUUUAAUUUUGUGGAUAAAAUAAGCCCCGCAAAAAUGAGUCCCUCAGGAAAAUUUAUGAUUUAAAAAAGAUUUUCUUUAAUCAUUUUUCAAAACUCUUUUCUGUGUUGCCUGAAAACUUGUCAUAUUUAUAUGAAUAUAUUAUAUGACACAUUUUGCACAGCACAGAGUAAAGAACAUAACUGUGGCAAGGAUUGAACUUCUAUAUCAUAGUUUUGUACAUUAUCUUCUAUGCUAAAUCAUUGUGCUUGUGUAUCAUAAAUACCCAUGAUUGAUGUUAGGAGAGUAAUAAUAAGCAAAUAUGAAAAUAAAAUUUGAUUCAUGCCUUAUGAAAUACUGGAAUAUAUCAAUGAAAUAAAAUUGAUAUUUUCACUGUUUGAAAUGGUAAAAAUAUCUUUUUUUGUUUUUCACUGGUAUGACACUAUACUUGAAUGUGAAAGAAUACGAAUUAUAAAACAUACUUCAGUAAAGUUAAGAUAUAUAUAAAUACCUACACGAACAUAAAGAUGUACGGCCAACCAAAAUAAAAUGUAAAUGAAUGUGGAAACAUCAUAAAACUAUAUGACGAUUUUUAGCUCGACUAUUUGAAGAAUAAGUAGAGCUUUCCUACUCACCACGGUGUCGGCUUCGGCUUCACACCUUUGUUCAGUUUUUCGUACCAGUCCACAUUUUGACAAAGUCUGUUGAGAUAAAGCUUUGAUACU